rnacentral:tRNA from 4 species
GCGGUCGUCGUAUAACGGUAUUACCCGAGCUUCCCAAGCUCGUGACGCGGGUUCGACUCCCGUCGACCGCUCCG